ACAAGCCAAGCGACACCAAAGGUGGCCAGCAGCCCAUGUGAAGCUGGAGGAGAGGCCUCGAAUAAAUGCUCCCUUACAGCGUUCAGGGGGAACUGACCCUGUCCACACCUUGACCUUGAACUUCUGGGCUCCAGAACUGUGAGACAGCAUGUUCUGUUGUUGAAGGUACCUGGUCUGGGGUGCGUGGUGCUUUGCAGCCAAAGUGAAUGAAUCUGGUGACACUGACCUGUGUACUGUAUGUCUUGUCUGCAGCUUGCUGGAGCAGCGUGGCUAGAGGAAUUCCUGCAGCUUAGAUUUCGCUGGCACUGUUACCACUCCCAGAGAGGAGCGGCUGGAGUUCACGGCUGGUUCCUGACAAACUUCCUAAUUAAUCUGCUAAAGAUCAGAGGAGGACUAAUAGGAGCUGAAGACUGUGUGCGAGACCACCCCUCCGCCCUCUCCCUUUGUGUGUGCACGUGUGUGUGUGUGUGUGUGUGAGCGCGUGCGCGCAUGUGGUGCUGAGCUUGGCGGGAGAGAGAUGGCCUCACCAGCGACAAAGCAUUCCUGCUGCUGUUGCUGCCACCUACCUUCCCUGCUUUGGGAGGAUACAUUUUCUCCUCUUGCUUAGAAGUUUCAGGGAGUCACCCAAGCCUUCUUCUCCCAGAUACAACGGUGGAAUAAAAUAUCUUCCAGCCAACAUAUUUUUUGGAGACGGAAUCUCACUCUGUCACCUGGUUGAAGUGCAGCAGCGCGAUCAUGGCUCACUGCAACCUCUGCCUCCCGGUUUCAAGUGAUUCUCCUGCCUCCGCCUCCCGAGUAGCUGGGAUUACAGGCAUGUGCCACCCACCACGCCUGGGUAAUUUUUGUAUUUUUACUAGAGACAGGGUUUCACUAUGUGGGCUGGGCUGGUCUCAAACUCCUGACCUCUGGUGAUCUGCCCACUUCGGCCUCUCAAAGUGCUGGGAUUACAGGCAUGAGCCCCCGCACCCGGUUGCAACCAACUUUUUUGUGGAAUAUAGGAUCUUGAUGUUUGGAUGCCUGAAGGCAGAAGCUGUUGCACAUGGAAUGGAUUAAAGUUUUCCCCUCUGCAACCAAAAAUCCUUGGGGUCCCAGGAGCAAAAGAUGCUCCAUGGCACAGGACAAUUCAAGAAGGCCCGAGGUGAUAUUGAAGACUGCAGAGACAUCCAGCUCAGUUGUGUCUCCGGAGGUGUCCAGACUUUGCAGACAGACGUUGCACAUAAAGAGCUGAAAAACUGAGGAAGCUGAGCUGGAGAAGGAAGUCACUUCUACUCAGACUUGACCUGCGUCUGAUGCUAUGGGGCCUCUUAGGGUUACCUCAUGCUUCAUGCACCCCUUUCUCUGUUCUUCAGCAGAAGGCAGGGUGUAGGGAAGCGGGACUGUGCCUCCUUUCUCCCUGCCAGGCCUGACUCUCCAGGCCAAGAGACACCAUUAAGGAGUAUAAUUUGUUGAUCCAGGCUCUCCUUGCGUUUCAGUGCAGAGUGGCAUCGUUUUCUUUAUGACCUCGUAAAGUCACAGCCGAGAGGCCGAUUUGGAAAACAAACUGCCUCAGGUUGACAGAUAAUUAGAUACAGGGGACAUAUUAUAUGCCUUUGCAUAUAAAUGUGCUCCGAGGCGUGUUGGUUCAUCUGAAGUUGAGGUUAAAGGCGCGCCAGAGUUAAUCCUAAUAAAAAAUGAUUACAGAAGAGGACGCCUCCACCCACAGGAAGGAGCCAGCACGGUGGGGAGCUGUUUCACCAGGGGAGUGUUCUCAGCAGCUGCCACACGUGGAGUUGUGGAGCAGGAUCUUGGCAGUGGACUGCCACGGGAGCUCUGGGGAAAAAGGACCAGUUGGACUCCAGUACCUCCUGAGAGACCACCACCCUCCAUGCCUCCAGCUCAUGCCCAGCUCUGAGUCAGACGGACUCUUCCUGUUGUACUGCGAGGUUCUGCAAACCUUGAAGGGCAAACACAGUGAGGGUCUCUGACUUGCUGUGUGGACAGCCCACUCUCUGACAGCCCAGAUCAUCUGAAGCUAUCCCUGGGCUGGGAGCUGGAAGCCAUUCUUGUGAACCACUCCUUAUACCUUGAGCGAAGCCUCUUUGGGUCCCAGAAGUCUGAAGCUCCAGCUGCCUGGCAAGACUGAGUCUAGAUGAUUUCUUGGGUACCAGUAGUUUGGCAUUUAAAAAUACUGGAUUAACUGCAGUGUAAACUUAGAUUGCAUUUCAGAUUGUAAACAAUAACCCCCGUGCUUCAUGUGAUGUUAAAUCAGAAAUGAGCUAUUAGCCAAGCUAGUCCUCUUAUGAAUGAGCCCCUAACCCUGAUCCAGGGAUCGUUGAAUGAAAAUCAUCAAAAUGAUUUAUCUUCACUUUA